AGUGAACGCUGGCGGUAGGCCUAACACAUGCAAGUCGAACGGCAGCACAGGAGAGCUUGCUCUCUGGGUGGCGAGUGGCGGACGGGUGAGGAAUACAUCGGAAUCUACUCUGUCGUGGGGGAUAACGUAGGGAAACUUACGCUAAUACCGCAUACGACCUACGGGUGAAAGCAGGGGACCUUCGGGCCUUGCGAGACUGAAUGAGCCGAUGUCGGAUUAGCUAGUUGGCGGGGUAACGGCCCACCAAGGCGACGAUCCGUAGCUGGUCUGAGAGGAUGAUCAGCCACACUGGAACUGAGACACGGUCCAGACUCCUACGGGAGGCAGCAGUGGGGAAUAUUGGACAAUGGGCGCAAGCCUGAUCCAGCCAUACCGCGUGGGUGAAGAAGGCCUUCGGGUUGUAAAGCCCUUUUGUUGGGAAAGAAAUCCAGCUGGCUAAUACCCGGUUGGGAUGACGGUACCCAAAGAAUAAGCACCGGCUAACUUCGUGCCAGCCGCCGCGGUAA
rnacentral:rRNA from 1 species